AUUGAACGCUGGCGGCAUGCCUUACACAUGCAAGUCGAACGGUAACGGGCCUUCGGGUGCCGACGAGUGGCGAACGGGUGAGUAAUGUAUCGGAACGUACCUUUCAGUGGGGGAUAACGUAGCGAAAGUUACGCUAAUACCGCAUAUUCUGUGAGCAGGAAAGCAGGGGAUCGCAAGACCUUGCGCUGAUUGAGCGGCCGAUGUCAGAUUAGCUAGUUGGUGAGGUAAAGGCUCACCAAGGCGACGAUCUGUAGCGGGUCUGAGAGGAUGAUCCGCAACACUGAAGCUGAGACACGGUCCAGACUCCUACGGGAGGCAGCAGUGGGGAAUUUUGGACAAUGGGGGCAACCCUGAUCCAGCCAUGCCGCGUGAGUGAAGAAGGCCUUCGGGUUGUAAAGCUCUUUCGGCCGGGAAGAAAUCGCACGGGCUAAUACCCUGUGUGGAUGACGGUACCGGAAUAAGAAGCACCGGCUAACUACGUGCCAGCCGCCGCCGUAAGAC
rnacentral:rRNA from 1 species